rnacentral:rRNA from 1 species
ACAGAGGUCUCAAGCGUUGUUCGGAAUCACUGGGCGUAAAGCGUGCGUAGGCUGUUUCGUAAGUCGUGUGUGAAAGGCAGGGGCUCAACCCCUGGAUUGCACAUGAUACUGCGAGACUAGAGUAAUGGAGGGGGAACCGGAAUUCUCGGUGUAGCAGUGAAAUGCGUAGAUAUCGAGAGGAACACUCGUGGCGAAGGCGGGUUCCUGGACAUUAACUGACGCUGAGGCACGAAGGCCAGGGGAGCGAAAGG